rnacentral:rRNA from 1 species
GACGAACGCUGGCGGCGUGCUUAACACAUGCAAGUCGAACGAAGAGCGAUGGAGGCUUGCUUCUUACAGUCUGAGUGGCGAACGGGGGAGUAACGCGUAAUCAACCUGCCUUUUAGAGAGGGACAACAGUUGGAAACGACUGCUAAUACCGCAUAAGAUCUAAUCUCGGAAUCGAGGAGAGAUGAAAGGUGGCCGCGAAUUGUAAGCUAUCACUGAAGGAGGGGAGUGCGUCUGAUUAGCUAGUUGGAGGGGGAACGGCCCCCCCAGGCGAUGAUCCGUGGCCGGGCUGGAGCGAAUAACCGCCACAUUUGGACUGAGACACGGCCCCGACUCCUACGGGAAGCAGCAGUGGGGGAUCUUCCGCCAUGGACGAAAGUCUGACGGAGCAACGCCGCGUUAGCGAUGACGGCCCUCGGGUUGUUAAACUCUGUUAAUCGGGACGGAAGGCCUCCUUGCGAAUAGUGCGAAGGAUUGACGGUACCGGAAUAGAAAGCCACGGCUAACUACGUG